rnacentral:rRNA from 1 species
GACGAACGCUGGCGGCGUGCCUAAUACAUGCAAGUCGAACGCUGAAGGAGGAGCUUGCUUCUCUGGAUGAGUUGCGAACGGGUGAGUAACGCGUAGGUAACCUGCCUGGUAGCGGGGGAUAACUAUUGGAAACGAUAGCUAAUACCGCAUAAGAGUAGAUGUUGCAUGACAUUUGCUUAAAAGGUGCAAUUGCAUCACUACCAGAUGGACCUGCGUUGUAUUAGCUAGUUGGUGGGGUAACGGCUUACCAAGGCGACGAUACAUAGCCGACCUGAGAGGGUGAUCGGCCACACUGGGACUGAGACACGGCCCAGACUCCUACGGGAGGCAGCAGUAGGGAAUCUUCGGCAAUGGACGGAAGUCUGACCGAGCAACGCCGCGUGAGUGAAGAAGGUUUUCGGACCGUAAAGCUCUGUUGUAAGAGAAGAACGAGUGUGAGAGUGGAAAGUUCACACUGUGACGGUAUCUUACCAGAAAGGGACGGCUAACUACGUG